UCCCGGGACACCAUCCUAAGGGGGUCCCCGAGCCCGCUCAGCAGAUGGCGUUCUGCGUUUUGUGCUGGGGAGCCGCCCUGGGGCUCCCCCUUCUCAUCCACUCCCCAGCUCAUCCGUCUCCUAAUUUGAUUUUCUGUGUCAGGGGGAGCGGCGUGGAGGAGGCGGAGGGCAGUCUGGGUCCUGCUCACACGUUUCUUGAUCUCUGCGGCUAGAAAGGGGAUGUCUCAAGUGUAGGCGCCGCCUAGGCAGGACCCAGGUGGCCUGGCUCUCAUCUUCUCAGGGGAUGGGGGAGACCCCUCUCCCCCAAGACCCCUAUGGGACAGAGGCGGGCUCUGCUUCAGCCCUCCGCUUCAGCCUGGCGGUCAGAAGGCUCCCUGCAGAGGAGCAAGCCAUGUUGAUUUUACGGAGAAGGCUGCUAUGCACAUUUCACUGCUGAUUUAUUGGUUUUUAACUAGAUCCUUAUGCUGGGCUAAAAAAGCCAUCUUGCACUUUGCAAGGCUCUGCUGACUGCUGCCGAAAAUGACACACAGGACUCCUCCUGCUCUACCCAGCCCUCCCUGCUCCACCCGAAGGGCAGGGCAGCGGUGGAGGUGUGAGCCUGGAGUCCUCCCAGCCACUGACCACCUGCGGUGUGCACUGGGGCCUCACAGAGCACUUGUCAUACAUUUUAAUGGACUUUGGAGUCAGACAAACCUAUGUUGAUGUCCUGGUUACUAUCCCGGCUGGCUGUGUGAUUUGGGAAAGUUAGCAUUGCUCCUCUGCAGCGCGAGAGGACGGCUUCGUGGGAAAGGAGGAUGUUAGGUACAGGCAUCUUGCGUCCACAAAUCUUGGGGUCCCUCUGGGCAUGGAAGCCAAGGGCAAGCUGCUGAGUCACAGGAGCCGCACGCGGACACCGGCCAGUAGGAGAUGCCGCUUUGGCCAGCCCUGGAAGAGCAACCAGAGAGCAGGGUGGGCACGGUGAGGACAGGUCUGAUUGAGACCCCCAGAACUCAGGGAACCUAAGGAGAACGCUGGCCGCAUCUGCAGAAUCCAUCAGGCGUCUUGAUGGGUCGCCGUUAAACAAAGAUGGGAUAAGGUUACAUGUGUUUUCCGUGGGAGUCGGCUCCAAUUUCAGCCUGAUGAUUUAGUCAGGUGUAAGCAUGAAGUUUCCAAUUUAGAGAAAUAAAUCUCCAGUGAUUUUA